rnacentral:Y_RNA from 1 species
GGCUCACCCAAGUACAGUAAUGUUUAAACUAAUUGAUCACAACCAGUUACAGAUUUCUUUGUUCUUUUUCUACCCCUAUUGCUUCACUUGACUAGCCUUAG